UGAAUAAACUAUUUUUUCCCG
rnacentral:piRNA from 1 species